rnacentral:sRNA from 1 species
ACCCUCUCUCGCUCUCUCCCUCUCUCCCUCUCUCCCUCUCUUCCCUCUGCAAACUUGACGCCGAGAGCACAUCGCCAUUCUUCGACGAAUCUUGUCGACAACCAAACACCCUCAACGGCGCCAUUUAGCCCCUCUCCACGACUUUAAACAAAAAAAGCAAGAACGAACCUUCAAUUCGAACCCACGCCGUGCACCCAGUUUUGGUUGGUUAACUUUCCAACGGUGGAAACAACGCGGGGAAAGUUUUCCAGUUUUCCGACGGAGAUCCGGCGGCUUCGAGCCGUUUUCCGGCCACGUCAGGACCCCGUGAUGGUAUAUUUCUCUUCCUCUCCUUUUGGGCUUCAAAUUGGUAUGUUAGAUUGCUAGUUUUAGUUGAGUAUCGAAGCUAGGAGGAGCCGGGAAAGUUUUCUGGCUAAGUUGCCCAGAUUCCGGUGGUUGCAAUGGCAACCGGCCGGAGAAGAGAGAAGGAAAAAAAAAAGGGCCCAAGCCCAAGCUGGCCCAAAUCAUUGGGCCGUUUUAGCAGCUCAGCUUUCAUAUCGAGGAGGAUUCUUGGCAAAUCUUGUUGUAGACUAUUACCCCUGAUGGUAUAAUUUUCACCCUAUGUUACUGUACUAUGCUUAUGUUCUGACAUCACGAGUGAAAUGGAUUCAUUCCCUCUCACAGUGCACUUUUAUAUUUAGGCAUCUUUAGGUUUAAAUUUAUUCACAUUUUCCACAUCACUAC